rnacentral:rRNA from 1 species
AUUGAACGCUGGCGGAAUGCUUUACACAUGCAAGUCGAACGGUAGAGGGGGCAACCCCUCGAGAGUGGCGAACGGGUGAGUAAUAUAUCGGAACGUGCCCAGUCGUGGGGGAUAACGUAGCGAAAGUUACGCUAAUACCGCAUACGAUCUAAGGAUGAAAGCGGGGGAUCGCAAGACCUCGCGCGAUUGGAGCGGCCGAUAUCAGAUUAGGUAGUUGGUGGGGUAAAGGCUCACAAAGCCAACGAUCUGUAGCUGGUCUGAGAGGACGACCAGCCACACUGGAACUGAGACACGGUCCAGACUCCUACGGGAGGCAGCAGUGGGGAAUUUUGGACAAUGGACGCAAGUCUGAUCCAGCCAUUCCGCGUGCAGGAUGAAGGCCCUCGGGUUGUAAACUGCUUUUGUACGGAACGAAAAGGUCUCUCUUAAUACGGGGGACUCAUGACGGUACCGUAAGAAUAAGCACCGGCUAACUACGUGCCAGCCGCCGCAGUAA